UACGUAGGGGGCAAGCGUUGUCCGGAUUUAUUGGGCGUAAAGAGCGUGUAGGCGGCUGGGUAGGUCCGUUGUGAAAACUCGAGCUCAACCUCGAGACGCCGAUGGAAACCCUCCAGCUAGAGUCCGGAAGAGGAGAGUGGAAUUCCUGGUGUAGCGGUGAAAUGCGCAGAUAUCAGGAAGAACACCCGUGGCGAAGGCGGCUCUCUGGGACGGUACUGACGCUGAGACGCGAAAGCGUGGGGAGCGAACAGG
rnacentral:rRNA from 1 species